rnacentral:lncRNA from 1 species
UGGUUUUGGUGAGAAUUGCAGCACUGGAUGCAAAAGCAGUUGUCGACUCCCAUCUUCUUCCUCUCAUAUGUAGCGUCAAGUACUGUUGACUAUGCGAAGAGUUUCCUUGAGUGGAUGAGCGAUUCAAUUGCAAAAUCUUUUGAGCACACUCGGACAAUGAUUUUCUAUUAAGGUAAGGAUGAUAUUACUUUCAGCAUGGAAGAGAAGAUCAACUAUCUUUUUAAGUGAUAAUUUUAGGAUGAUAAAGAGUUCGACAAACUUCUAUAGUAAAAAUAUCCAAAAGGAUAUCAAAAGGUUUGAAAAAUUAAAACUCUAGUGAUCAUCUGAUGGUUUCCCUAUUAUACCAACUUUCCAAUAAAUGUAUUUGUUUUUUUGCUGCUACCACCAAUUUCAUAUGCCAGUAUACCACCUUCUGAUCUCUGUACUCAUUUUAACUUCACCAAUAAAAUGGGAAGAGAGUGUUUUAUUGUGCUAUAUUUGGUAUACAUAUGAAAAUUUCGUACCAGGAAAACCUUAGACCGGAGAAUGAUUGAUUUCUCUCACUGUCCUAUUCUGCUUCAGUGAUUUGCUUUCUUUAUUUAAGAGAAUUAACUGUUUUAACGGGAAAUAUCUUUUCUUGGGCAUAAAAUGUGCGCCGUUUUCUGGUAUAAUAAGAAAUUUAUUGUUGAGGCAAAGCUGAUAUAGACACCGCAAUGGAAUGUCUUAUCAGCUUACUUGGCAGUUUUCAUGCAUUUAAGCAAAUUAUAAUCUGGUAUAAUGUUCCUACUUGUCCAUUGGUUUCAAUUGAUUGAUAGAUUGUUGUUGAUACUUAGUAAGUUUUGCUAAGCUAUGUCACAUUCUGGAACCUAUAUUCCUCCCAACAAAAAGAAUUUGUUACGUGAUUCUAUUUUUCAGCUUCAUUGUCCUUUUUUGCUAUCAAACAGUAAGCAUUCAUCCGUAUGUUGUGCCUAACGACUUGUUAACUAGUAGUUGUUCUUUGAAAGAGGAAGUGAACAUAAUCCUUACCAAGCAUGGGCUGGUUCUGUACUUUAAAAAUGCCUUUUGUUAAAUUUCACAAAGUUAGGUUGAGAUAUAUAGGAAAAAGACCCUCACUGAAGUUCUACGCAUUUAUUUGUCUUUCCUUUACAGGUUGUGAAUGACAUUUGUCUUGUGGCAUCCACUGAAAGGGUAGCAUCCUGUGAUGGGACAGUGCAUGUGUGGAAUGGCCAAACGGGGAAG